rnacentral:tRNA from 1 species
UAGCUCAGUGGUUAAGAGCACUGGAUGCUCUUCCAGAGGUUCUGAGUUCAAAUCCCAG